CAGGAUAAGGGUUACAGAAAAAAGGAAGGACACUAAGGUCUCAGCGAGCAAAAAUUUUCAAAGUUUACUUCCUGCCAGUUUCCACUUAAGCACUGGACCAAUACCAUUAUCUUCCAUCUGGAGACAUUGUAGACUUGAUGAGUUGUACUUUGACAUCCAUUGUGUCCCUUCAGUAUCUACGGAGGAGCACGAAAUCCGUG